rnacentral:lncRNA from 1 species
AAAGCAUGCUGUCCAUCAACUCAACUGCGACUGGCACAUCUCCAUACGUUAAGUCUUCCCUUGAACCAUCUCUGAAGCGAUCUUAAGCGCAUCAUCAGAUUUAAGAUCAAAGAGAAACUCAAAACAGUUUGCCACAGGACGAUGCAAGUCUGCAACUCGCAAGUUAAACAAAAUUGUUUUCUGAUCGAUUCUCUUCCCUCUCAAUCGUAGCUGUAUCUGUUGUGUGGACCUCAAAGAUUCUAAUAUAGAGAUAGGACCUGACGUGAUGAUGCCUGCUGCAGAUGCCUUACUUGAGUCGAAGCCUUAUUAUAACUAGAUCCAUCAUUACUCGUGGAGACUUGGGAAUCAGGCUGCGGAAUAUUGUUGGAUUCAGGCAGAACAGCGGACGGGCGAAGCCCCGAUUCGCAUUUAUCCCCUUUUAAGCUCUCUGGUGAUGAUAAGAAUGGAUCUUUCAAGAGCUGCAGCACUGGGUCUCUGAGCUGCAGGAAGUAAACACUUUUCAAUAAAUCCUUUAACCUGAGGAUCCUUGACAUUUCCCAAGGCAAGUGGCUUCACCCCUUUCGUGACCUUCUUGUAAAUCUGAGCGACAUUUGUGCAUUCACUGUAAGGGUAAUCACAAAUGAUCAACUCCAGCAUGCACAUCCCAAAGGCAUAUAUGUCGACAAGUUCAUUAUACUUCUCGUCAUACACUUCAGGAGCCAUGAAUUCAGGUGUCCCAACAACACUUGUUGCGACACCUGAAUUCUUCAACACUGUGGCCAAUCCUAGAUCACCAAUCUUGACCUCCCCCUGAUUCGCAUUGACAAAGAUAUUAUCGCACUUCAAAUCUCUAUGAGCAAUGGGUGGAUUACGGGUAUGCAAAUAGUUCAGCCCCUCCAAAAUCUGCUUAGCCCAGUUCUUGAUGGCCUUGAUAUUGACGGACUUGUGAUUCUUCCUAAACUCCCUCAAAGUUCCCGAACUAAACAACUCAGUAAUCAUGUUUACAUUCGUGUUAUCUUCGUCAAUCCACGAGUGUUGGCAUCUGAUUAUGUUGUUAUGCUUGAGUGAUUUCAUCAAAGCAGCCUCAGACAACAAACUUUUGGCAAGUUUGGGUAAAUCAUCCAAGGAGGCUGCUGCCCUGCCGGCUUCCAGGUUAAUUUGGUACCAAGCUACCUCCGUCCCGUUUUCUUGAUCAAAACCCUUGAAUACCGUCUUGAAUGCUCCUCUACCAAGAACUUCAUCGUACUUAAUAAAACGGCCGUCCGGCGAAAUCUCUAAAACACCACCCUUGUUCUCUUGUUUUUCGGAUUUGCACAUACUCGGACUCAUUCUUGUGGUUUAAAAAAAAAAA